UCUAAUACCGCAUAUGGUCUUCGGAUUAAAGCUUCGGCGUUUGGGAAGAGCCCGCGUAAGAUUAGCUAGUUGGUGAGGUAAUGGCUCACCAAGGCGACGAUCUUUAACUGGUUUGAGAGGAUGAUCAGUCACACUGGAACUGAGACACGGUCCAGACUCCUACGGGAGGCAGCAGUGAGGAAUUUCCACAAUGGGCGAAAGCCUGAUGGAGCAACGCCGCGUGCAGGAUGAAGGCUUUAGGGUUGUAAACUGCUUUAUAUGUGACGAAUAUGACGGUAGCAUAUGAAUAAGGAUCGGCUAACUCCGUG
rnacentral:rRNA from 1 species